rnacentral:rRNA from 1 species
UACGAAGGGGGCUAGCGUUGUUCGGAAUCACUGGGCGUAAAGGGCGCGUAGGCGGCUUUGUAAGUCGGGGGGUGAAAGCCUGUGGCUCAACCACAGAAUUGCCUUCGAUACUGCAUGGCUUGAGACCGGAAGAGGUUAGUGGAACUGCGAGUGUAGAGGUGAAAUUCGUAGAUAUUCGCAAGAACACCAGUGGCGAAGGCGGCU